rnacentral:rRNA from 1 species
UACGAAGGGGGCUAGCGUUGUUCGGAAUUACUGGGCGUAAAGCGCACGUAGGCGGAUUUGUUAGUCAGGGGUGAAAUCCCGGGGCUCAACCUCGGAACUGCCUUUGAUACUGCAAGUCUCGAGUCCGGAAGAGGUGAGUGGAAUUCCUAGUGUAGAGGUGAAAUUCGUAGAUAUUAGGAAGAACACCAGUGGCGAAGGCGGCUCACUGGUCCGGUACUGACGCUGAGGUGCGAAAGCGUGGGGAGCAAACAGG